rnacentral:sRNA from 1 species
GCAUCGGUGGUUCAGUGGUAGGAUGCUCGCCUGCC